rnacentral:rRNA from 1 species
CUCAGAAUCAACGCUGGCGGCGUGCCUAACACAUGCAAGUCGAACGAGAAAGUGGUAGCAAUACCAUGAGUAAAGUGGCGCACGGGUGAGUAACACGUGACUAACCUACCCUUGAGUGGGGGAUAACUGAGGGAAACCUCAGCUAAUACCGCAUAAUACCUACGGGUCAAAGGAGCAAUUCGCUUAAGGAGGGGGUCGCGGUCGAUUAGUUAGUUGGCGGGGUAAUGGCCCACCAAGACUGUGAUCGAUAUCCGGCCUGAGAGGGCGCACGGACACACUGGAACUGAAACACGGUCCAGACUCCUACGGGAGGCAGCAGUGGGGAAUUUUGCGCAAUGGGGGAAACCCUGACGCAGCAACGCCGCGUGGAGGAUGAAGUCCUUCGGGACGUAAACUCCUUUCGAUCGGGACGAUUAUGACGGUACCGGAAGAAGAAGCCCCGGCUAACUUCGUGCCAGCAGCCGCGGUAAUACGAGGGGGGCGAGCGUUGUUCGGAAUUAUUGGGCGUAAAGGGUGCGUAGGCGGUUUGGUAAGUCUUAUGUGAAAUCUAUGGGCUCAACUCAUAGACUGCAUGAGAAACUGCCGGGCUUGAGUGUGGGAGAGGUGAGUGGAAUUUCCGGUGUAGCGGUGAAAUGCGUAGAUAUCGGAAGGAACACCUGUGGCGAAAGCGGCUCACUGGACCACAACUGACGCUGAUGCACGAAAGCUAGGGGAGCAAACAGGAUUAGAUACCCUGGUAGUCCUAGCCCUAAACGAUGACUGCUUGGUGUGACGGGUACCCAAUCCCGCCGUGCCGUAGCUAACGCGUUAAGCAGUCCGCCUGGGGAGUACGGUCGCAAGGCUGAA